rnacentral:lncRNA from 1 species
UGAAACUAGAUGAAAAUAAUGAAAGAAUAGAAGAAAUAACCCUAAACUUGGUUGAAUGGAGCCUAAGCAUCCAAGGAACCUCCUCCAAGGUGUGUGGAAUAGCUCUGGAUGUUCUCUCCGCCAAAAGAAUCCCUAUCUAAUUUGCACUGGGGCUAUUUAUAAGCCCAAAAAGAUAACAAAUAGAUAACAGGAAGAUUUACAGAAUCUAGCUAAAAAAAACAGACAACCGCCCAGGCGCCUAAUUUG